CCUAAAGGAGCCGUGGACAACAGAGCCAUCAGCACACCAAAAGGCGUCAACAUUGAUUUUACUUUUGACGAAGAAGUCAGCGCAAUCUUCAGUGACCGUAUAACAAGUGUUGUCGCAGAGUCCAGUGUUCUGGAUGUGCGGUCCAAUGAGCAGAAAGCUCCUGGACUCAGACAGUGGAACGUGCAGUCUCCUCUGCGCCAGAAGAAAAAAGGAUCCAUAGUUUAGUGGAGAUUCAUCUCCAACUCUGUUUUAUAUCUUCACAAGUGCUACUUUUUCUUUUUCUUACAUCUUCAUCACCAUCUAUGUGCUGUUGUUUGAUAUUCUCUCAUAUUUACUGUUUGUCUGUGUAACUGUUUGUCUUUUAUCUGUUUGGUAAUAAAAGUGACCUUCAAUUCAGAAUA